UACGGAGGGUGCAAGCGUUAUCCGGAUUUACUGGGUUUAAAGGGUGUGUAGGCGGGCUUUUAAGUCAGUGGUGAAAUCUCCGGGCUCAACCUGGAAACUGCCAUUGAUACUAUUAGUCUUGAAUUUUGUUGAGGUAGGCGGAAUAAGUCAUGUAGCGGUGAAAUGCAUAGAUAUGACUUAGAACACCAAUUGCGAAGGCAGCUAACUACAGGGUUAUUGACACUGAGGCUCGAAAGCGUGGGGAUCAAACAGG
rnacentral:rRNA from 1 species